GCGGGUGUAGUUUAGUGGUAAAAUAGGUUCUUGCCAAGAAUCAGUUCCGGGUUCGAUUCCCGGCAUCCGCA
rnacentral:tRNA from 1 species